AACUUUCCAACAAAUAAACCUCUUGCCAAGCUGCUCCCGGAUGUUUUGCUUGCCUGCAAGCUUGCAUGAUGUACCUCCAAAGGGCUUAGCUGUGGUAAUUACAUCUCUGUUGCUGUUCGGGGCUUGUAAGGAUAAUUUUUUUAUAGUUCAUAGUUAAAAUGUUCCAAAUUCCUAAAAUUUCCCUUGUUUUGGAUGGAUAUUGUUUUUUUGUGAUGUAGAACUUUAUUUAUUACCGUAGGGAUGAACAACGAAUAGCGGAGCAUCAAAUACUUAAUUAUAAAGAGGUGAAACGCACAGGUGGUUUUAUAUGUGGAACUGAGUGCCUAAACUUCACAGGAGACUCUUCAAAACCGCUAAGGUCUGAAAAGUUCAGUGCUUACAGCUAGAAUUUCAAGGAGCCUAUUGUAGAUGCGUUAUUUCCUGUCGCAGAUAACACAUGAGGCUCCUGCAUGCUCCGUCUCCCAUUGCCACUCCUUCCCGACGUGGUCGGGCAUGAGACAGCUGUGCUUUGCACAGACACGUUUUGACUUUGCGGGCAUAAAAGGAAGAAUUGGCGAUAGACAGGUUCUGAGAGUAGUUUGUGACUCGCGCCCGUCCGCUGCAGAAGUCUGUCGGCCUCUUGUACCUCCGCUGCUGCUCUAGGUCAAAGUUGGCUGCGGUGAUGGGAAGGCUUCCGCUAGUGACCUCAGUGUGUGUCUCCUGGUCUUCCUAGGAUGAAUUGGGACUGUUGAGGAAUCUCUUUGCUCCACUUCCAUUACUAUUAGCAGAAGCAGAAAAUGAUUAGGGUCUGUGGAACUUUUGUUGUUUAAAAUCAACAGGUUCAGUCAUGAUAGGGCUUGUAUAACAAAGAAAGUGGUAUGAGAGCAUCUUGAAACGCUGCUGUCCUGACCCUGGUCGUGGUUAUAUUUGAACAGUAGGUCAGAUUGUUUUUAAAAUGAUUGCAAAAUUCUGGGGAGAACUAAGUAAACUGUGCAAGUGACAGAGUAACAAAGAAAAUGCCACUUUUAAUCAUGGCACAAGCAGUAGUGAUGAUCUAGAAAAUACAGGAAUGAAUGUUUUGACAGGAGGAGGAGUGAUCCUUAUUGCUGGAGAGCAAGAAUAGCCAAUGACAAAUGAGAACAAAACCAGAAAUAAAAAUUCUGGGCUUUCAGAACAUGGGAUAAGGUUUUGGUUCACCAGUACAGUUGCCAGCAAAGAAAGUUACAAACCUUUUACAGCAGGGACGCUUUUUGCUGUCUUGAGUUUUUUUUCCAUUCUGAAUGUUUCUUCCCUGGUGGCAGUUUUUCUGUCUCUGGCUUGUCCAUUUGUUUUGUAUACUCUUCUUUUUUUUUUUUUCCUUUUUCCUUCCUGUGGACUUUUUCUCUUCUCUUAGCCAACCUUCACCCAAAGACUAAGAAGAUGAACUGUUAAUUGACCUUGACAUUACUCCCUGCUUCUAAAAUGACUUUUUCCAUCUUUUUACCUUAUCCUAUGUAAAUAAAAUUUUUUUGAGCAGAUACAGUAUUCCUCAAUUGUACAGGAUACAUAGACCCUUUCUUAGUUGUUCUCAAUGGUCUGUGGUACUUCAGAUAAUUAAUUAUUUCUAUUCUGUUCAUAUAUUUUCCACAUUCCAAAAAUGAGGAUGUUGUCAGUUAAAACUACUGCAUCUCUUUCCAGGAGUCUCAGGUAUGAUUAAGUCCGUCAUUGUGGCAUGAGGGUGGUGGUUAUGACAAAAAUAUUGACUUUACUGACUUUGAUUAAUACUGUUUUUUAUUUAAAGAUGAUGAAAAAGAUGAUGAACCAGCUUCUGCUAAGAAACGUAAACUAGACUCUGGGGAGCAGACAAAGAGGAAGAAGUUAUAAGCGGGGCAUGCUGCAUUUGGCCAAAAUGAGAAUUUCGGUGAACUUGGAUUCUGCUGCUGGAAUGAGAAACAAAUACAUGUUUACCAAAUUUCUCUCUCCUAUCGGGUAGGGAGUUUUAUUUCUGUAGUAUGCUUGCUUUCUGGAAAGCACAAAAUUAAAUGGGCAGUGUUGUGAUAGAAACUGGUCUACUGAAAAAAAACUUAAACCUGUUUACUUAAAAAAGGUCUCUUAAAACAUUGCGACGGAUACUUGUGCUCAUGCAGGUUAUAGGGCUUUGUGGUACUUUCUUUAUCAACAAACCUGGUAACUUGUGGUAUGAGCUUUUCUUGACUGACUUUUCCAUUGUGUCAAACCUUUUAUAAAGGAGCAUAUAUUAAAGUUUCUUUAAGUAUUGUACUGUGAUAUGUUUGAAUAAUGCUGUUUUGAAAUUUAUGUAAAGACUGUAAAUACGUCACUGGAAUAAAAUUACUUUUGAAAACGUUUGCAGUAUAACUACUGCAUUGCAUGCGUAAUGAAUAGGAGGGAUGAAUUAUUUAUGUAUUUCAGUGAUGUGUUUCUAAUGACUCAACAGAUUCUUCAGGGGUUUGUUUGCAAUAAAUCUACAACUACAAACUUUAAAAAUGGACUUACAAAUGGAGUUUAAUAUCUGAUAAUUAGUUUUGAUGUUAUGUGGUCUGCAUCGGUGAAGCAUGAGACUAAAUAGUAAUAGAAGAAUUGGAGCAUUCAGGGUAUUCUUCCUAAAACUGAAAAUAGCAGCAAAAUAUUUACUUGAAAAGAAAUUAUGACAAAGCUGUGACAGUCUUUACUACCAAAUCGUUUGUACUUCAGUAAAAAUGUACUUAAGUACUUUGUCUUUUCUUGCAGUGUUAUAGCCAGUAUAUGUUGCAUUUAUGAUAUGCUGCUGGGCUUUUGGGUCUAUAUUUGAAAAAAUACCAGCAAAAUGGGGGGGAGGGUAUUUUGAGAUAAAAGCUUUUGUCCCUUCAGAAACCUACAGUGACAACUAGUCAACACUCAUAUUUUUUAUUCUCUUCUUAUCCUGGAGUAGCUUUCAGUUGGCAGAACAGAUGCUUAUCAUAGAGCAUUCUGUAUGGAUAUAUUCUAAUGUAAUGUUAGUGUUUAAAAAAAAUGUGAUUUCAAACCUCAAUAUAGAAAAAUAUAUUCCUUUUUAGUGAGUACGUGAAGACAGCAACAAGUUAGGCAGUUGUAGCCUUGGCAGUGUGAUAAUGCUUUCUCUUGUUCCUUCUGUACCUGCAGACUCUACAGUCACUCCUUGCUGAUUUCCCAGCUGAUGGGCUACUUCCAUGAUAUAUUCCCCAUCUUCCUGCUCUGCCAGUUUGGAAAGGAUUCAAACAACGGUAGUUGUACACAGCUCCGGGUGCCCCAUGCACAAGAUUUCUUUCUUUUAGCACAAACCCAAAUAUCUAACCCCCUCAUCAUAGCGAGCCCCAAGACUAGAGAGGGUGUCAUAGGCAAAGCUUAUGAAGUUAGAUGCCACAUCUGUUCACGGUCUCUUGAAAUGUUCCUUCCUUCAGGAAGUGCCAGGACCAGAAUAAGCUGCCCUCUAGGUUGCAGAGGGAAACCUCUCAAUCCCUUAGUAAUGAUCCUGCUUAGUUCCAGGUGGAAUCAAGAUCUCUUCAUGGCAGUCGUAUUUAUCCAUUAAUGAAGCAGAGCUUUCCUAGGUGGAAAGCGAGGUGAUAGAUGACAAUUUAGGGGAACUGUGGAGGGCUGCAUUUUGUUCAGUUGAGAAGCUAUAAAUGCCUAUGCUUCAAUUUCGCUAGACUUGUCAGUAAAAUUCUCCCUGGUUCUAGUAGUUGUGUAUGAUAGCAUUGAGUAAUGAUGAGUAAUUGUGUUCUCUUAAAGGAAUAACUACCUCGGCGCGUAUAAUGCAGCCUAACAGCAUCCUCUUCAGGAAGUGGGUUGUUGUCAGCUACUGUUGUAGCUGCUAUCUAGGUUCUUUUGGUCUGAGAUCAAAUGGUUCCUCUAAGCUUUGCCUACAAGAAAAGGAAGGGUGUUUUUUCCCAGAGUGUUGAACAUGAAGUCUCUGAAUGAGAAGGCUCACUCCAGUCAAUUUUUUCUAUAUCUGUAGUCCUGAUAUAGCACCCUCACCCUAGCAAAUCUUCAGAGAAUGUGGUAGAAGACAAAUGGGAGUGCAUUUAUGCUGUAGCUAAUGGAGAGCUGGAGGUAGGAAGCAAUAGCAAGCUCCUCUUCCAUUAUGAAAAUCAGAUGCUAGGUCAGUUUCUCAGGUAUUCUGUUUUUGUCCAGUCUGCAAAUUGCAGAUCACCUUACGUCUAGCAAGAUACUUUUGAGAAAUCUAUCUCUACUGCUGAGCAUGUACAGAGCUUACUCCAGGUUUACGUGGGAUGAAUGGUAAGGAUUCUUGAAACUUGAAGGGUUCAACGUGGAAUGCAGGGUUCAAUGGCCUGGCUAAUUCUCAAGUCUCAUAAUAGUAUGCCAGUUUGCUACUAAAGUGCUACUUGAAGAGCUUUACAGUUGAACGUUAAUGUCAGCGGCUCUGGAAAUAGGAUGCAUUCCCACGAUUGCCAUGACCAAGGAGGCUUUUGUCCUGUUAUUGUUUGCUGUGCGAUUUUACGUGGCAGCUCUGGAAGUAACCAUGCUAAUGACUCCUUUUGUUUUCAGAUAAUACGAUAUAUGUGGUGUCCAGUCAUCUUGAAGCUAACACCAUCUGAUACUUGGUUUUCAAGGAGAAAAGUAGCAUGUCUAAUCUGAGAGAAGAAUGAUUAAUUGUAUUAUUUACAGGUUGAGAGAAACUGCAUUGUAAGCAGUGACCAUGACAGCUUUCCUAUUCAGGAUAAGUGGUGAAAGCAGUUAUGCUUCUUUUUUUUUUUUUUUAAAUAAGACGUCUGAAACAACUGCAGGCUGUGUGAAAGCCUGUCUGAAGCUGAGUUGCUUUGGUGGGUGGGUUUUGUUGCUGGAUGACUUCUAAAGCAUCAGUGACUUCUAAUGCAAACAACUACAGAACUGCCACUAGUGGGUAAGUGGUAGGGUCUUAAAGGGAAAUUCUAAUGUAAGAAAAGAAUGAGAGGCGUUUGGAGGUAAAAUCUGUGGGGCUAGAGCAGAGACAGCUUUUUUCAUGUGAUAUGUAGUUGCUAGGAUUGCACUAGGCCUUGUAGUCUGAGAGGUCCUAGUGCUCUUUGGCACUGCACAGUUGUGGUGCAGCCUCUUCUCUGCCAGGAGACACGUGCUGGAUCCUGCUGCUGAAUUUGUAACUGCUCCUUGGUUUGUCACAUCUUGCCUCAGCGCUCCAGCACUGAGCUUGAUAAGUAAAUAACCAGCAGCUGGAUUGUCGUGGAUAUGAAGCUUUUCCCAAAAUAAGUGAGACAGGAAAGCUUGACCAGCUUUGGUUUCUAAUGGAGAGCAAUUGCAGCUGAGCUAUCUGCUUAAGAAGAAAGUCUUAAGGAGAGUAGUGGUUACAGAGUGGUAUGGAAGUCUUCUGCCUACAGAUGUGACUGUGUGAGAGGGCAACUUAGGAUAUUUGCAGUAUUCCUUGUUUGCAUUUCAUGGUGGCCUACUGUUGAGAGAAAAUGGCUGGAAAGACGGAUAAAACGUUUCUAGAAAUGAGAAAGUACAGUACUUACUAAGCAGUAUUUACCUCAGGGCGGUGGGGAGGCAGGUAUCUCUAUCUGGUACUAAGAGGCUGUUUGAAAGCAGCUGGAUUGAGCUAGGUAGAAAAUAGCUAAGAGCUAGGAGAAGAAGAAAAGGAGGAAAAAGCCUACUGAAUUUGCUGGGGAUCUCUGGGAUCUUAUUCAGAUAUAAUAAAAAGCUUCUAAGAUAAAUUGACAAUAAAUUAAAUUAUAAGUCGUCACCUGGAGUUGAGCUUCUAGGUCAAAAUCAGUGAUAAAUUUUCCGUGGUAUUCAUAGCAGUGAUGCAGUAAAAUUACCGGGUGUGGUUCAAGUUCCUCAGUAAUUCACUGUAGAAGGAAGCAGCCGCUAUCAGGAAAGAUGUGUUCCCAAUAAGCCUUGCAAUUAUAGGAGUGCAUCUAAUAUGCAAAACGGAAAAGGGGAUUCUAAUCUUUGUGCCCUUUUUGAAUGAUUAGAAGUGAGGCUGAUUUACAAAACAAGAAGAAUUGAUGGUGGUGGAGUACUUAAAGGAAGCAGAUCUUUUAAAGGUGAAGAAAUGAGCAAUAAGGAGAAGAUUAGCUCAUUUGUUUCAGAAGUAGCAGAGCGAAAGACAUGAAGCUGAAGGACAAAUCUUGACGGAACAAAAAACCUUGCAGGUUUUCUUUAGGUUUUGGCAGCUCAUAAUGAGACUUUGGCUACUCUGUGCAAAAGGAUCUGUGAAAUGCAUGAGUGAACUUAAAACUUAAACUGAUAGCUCGUAUGUUCGAAAACAAGUCUAACUAGAGAAGAGUUUAUCCUGAAUUGACUCUCAAGAGGAGACAGUGACAGGAACAUACACCCCCAUCCACAAAUGGAGAAGACUGACUUACGAAAUCAGAUCUCUUGUUAACUCAUGUUGCACUCUUUUUAUGAUGAAUCAGAUGUAAUGAUGUUUAUUGUUCAACAGAAAACAAAUAGCAGGAAUAGCGUCCUACAAGUUUGAUCUGAGAAAAUUCUCUAAAAAAAAAAAUUUGCCAAGGGUAGGAAAACAGGGCCUGGGAGGCAGUCAGUUUGCAAUGAACGCAUUGUGUUGCCUCCAGCUGCUGCCUUAUUAGCAGCUACCUAAAGUAGAUUUCCAGGAAAGGCAGGAUGGUAUACGAAAACAAAUCUCAUCAGAGUAAAACUACAGCUGUAUAGGAUAAUGGCUUUCAUGGCAGGCAAAACUUUGUCUGAAAAAUGCUAAUUGAGAGAUUGUUGCAAGGCAUCCCUCUGUUAGCCUGCUUGUUAUUCCUUUGCGAUAGCUUGAUGCACACUAACACCAUUGAAGAACUGAUUCAUUUACAGAUGGUUUGUGAUAAGCUUAAGGCUGCCGAUCUGAAACUGAAUCCAGGGAAAUGCAGCAUGUUGCACAAAGAGUAAUUUAUCUUGAACCUAUAAUCAGUGAGGGAGGAGGAAUUUUUAUCAUCAGAGAGAAACAGAAGCUGUGUAGAGUUGGCUGACCCCUUAAGUUCUCUGAUGACAGGAAGCUCAUUUGCUAGUUUGCUAAUGUUGCAAGAUCAUGGCAGAAUUUGAAUGGAAAGAGGUAAUGCUUUCAGUCACCAGCAGGAUACAAUUUGAGAUUUUUUUCAUGCUUGAAAGGAUCUUGUGACUGUUUCUGUCUGAGCUUGCUGAUUUUUCCAAAACCCUGUGAAUACUAGACACAGAUGUUUGUGCUUUUGAUUUCUGUGUAAGUUUGAGAAAAAUGUAGGACUAUCUUAAAAGGGUGCUAGCUGAUUACAGCUAAAGUAUGAGUUCUUCAGAGAUAAAGAUCCUUGGCAGUGGCUAAAGGUGUGCAGCGUUUUCAUUUUGAGAGAAGAUACUCAAGCACACCUACGUUUACUCUCAAGACCGAACAAUUCUGAAGGAUAGCUUUUUACUGGAAAAAUCACAGCACCAUGAUUUCUUAGACCCACAAAGGCCUGGCCAUAAGUAUGGUAUUACUACAUGCCUUAUGUAGGUGAGCCUGUUGAGAGGCUAAUUGCUCUAACUACAGGUGGAAAUGACUGCCCAAGCACGCUCAGGAAGAGAUGUCUGUCUCCUCUCUUUAUAAUUCACAAGAGGGCGGAUGUUACAAACUAAAAAACUUCGCGAAGAGAAGACUAGAAUGGGAUGCCUUUGGAAAACCCUUUAGCAAAUGUAGUCUCUGUAUUAAAGAAUGUGAUGUUCCAUUACUGCCAAAGGUUUCUAGUUGCAUUGGCUAAGGUAAAGCUUAAAGAUGAUACAACAAGAGGUAGAGCUUGGCUACUAGUUCUGGGAGUUGGUCAAAAUUUCAAGACUGAAACAAAAGCAGAAUUUCUGUAGAGCACAAGGCUGGCAAAAUCCGGAAAACCUGCUGAAAGAAGUACUGUGUUUUCAUUGCAAAGAAGGCCUCCAAUGAGACCGAACAGUCAUAGGAAUCUCAGUGAAUGAUUCUGUUCUUGAAACAAGCUUUUUUGGUAGCAGUGGACUGUUUUAUAAAAGCUUCAAAGUCAUACAGUUAAGAACCAAAAAACAAUGGGAAUAACAGAGGAACAGAAAUUCUAGUAAGCCAGCUCUUCAGGUUUGGAGGUUCUGGGGUAUUGCGGAUCGAAGGGAGUAACCUUGGAUCCAUAGGAGUCUGCAGAGUUUGUUAAUGACAGAAAUGUGGAAAGACUGAUUGAACUUGGAAGACAGAGUAGCACCAAAGAGGCUGGACUGAGUUUAUGCUUCUGGUUCCUUUGAACUACUUUCUUCAGGUUACUUCUGAAAAAUCAGGAAUCUUCUGGGGAAUCCAGGACAUGUGGAGCUGAAUUGGCAGAAGAAUGCAGUGAAUUCAGAGAAUGGAGAUAAGCAUUUCUAGUCUUUAUCAAAUAAGUGUAUCAGUGCUCUUCAUUUAGAAGAGGAAGCACUCUGCAUCUUGAGAGUGCUUUCAUCUUGGUAGCUUCAAAGGGAAAUCACAUCUGUGUUUCACUGUGGCUGUGAGCAGCAGGGCAAGUACUCUGUUUUGCUACCUUCUGACAAGGUGAACCAAUUUUUUGGAGCAAACAUAGAUUGCCCACCUCUUUUGCUUAACUUCUUCAACUGUCUGCUUCUUAUUGUAGAUGGAUUCAUACGGAAACAAGUACAGAGUGUAAUAAAGGCUAACCCCAGGCCGGCGUAAUGGGGAGUUAAAACCAACACAGGACUUACCAUGAAAGGAUUAACAUACUCGGAACAAAGCGAAAGAAACAACACAAAAACUCCACACCAGCAGGCUCCCAGCAGAAGUUAACUGGGCAACCUGUCCGUUGGGAAGCAGAAAAUGGCCCAGUUCUGCUAAACUAGUAACUUCUCUGACGCAUUAUGAAGCUUACCAAAAAAAGGGCUGGAACCGGCCCUUGCAGCGGUCAUCUAGCCCAUCUGCCCACCUCGGGCCGGGCCAGCCGCACCUGCACCGUUCCUGGCUGCUGUCUGCCAGUUACCAAACAAAGCUUCACCAGGAGAUAACACUGAAAUGACACAGCAACCCCUCUCUUCAGUUUUACCAGGUUACUACAGUAAUCCGUUGGUAGGAAUCAGCAAAAAUAUGCAAUUGAACAAGAGAGUUAAUAACAUCCUUCUCCAUUUUAGGGAAGCCUAUAACCCAAGUCUCAAGUGACUCUUAGCAGUUUAUAGCUUUGUAUUUGUACAGCGCAAGAACUCCUACAUUAGCAUAGGUGUAAAUGAUUCAAGAUGACAUAUUCGGAAUUAUAAGAUGUGAUUUGUCCUGUUUUUUUCCUAGGUUAUUUGUCUCUAGCAUAGCCAAGGAAAAACAUUUUAGGUCUUUUUUUUUUAAUUAACAAAUUCUGAGUUAAAUGACUGAAUUUUACCAAAAGAUGUCAUUUCUGAGGACAAUUUGUCUGGUCAAAACAACCUGGUAAUGCAAGUUUGCUUGUAGCAGACUUUGCCGAGAACUGUAUUACUGCUGCACUCAGAUGACUCUGGAUAGGAUUUAACGCAGUUAGGCCCUGCAGUUCACUCAGAGGACAAACUAGCCCUUAAAACCAGCCUUUUCUUCCUCAAGACUCUGUAGAAGGAAUGAAGAUAAACUACGAUUAUGCAAGAGAGAAGAAAUGGAGGUCCUAGCUAUGAGGACUAAUCCACUGUAAGUGUUUAGGUUUUUUAAUUAAAAGACCUCAUUUAAUUUUUCACAGGUUUCUGGCCACGUAUGAAGCUGAAAGUUAAUGAUCUUGUUCACUGUUGGAAAUACCUACUGUGAUGUGCUAAAAGGGCAAAGGCUGCUGUGAGCUGAACAUCCUCUGUGGUAGGUGGAAACUCUUACUUGAACAGUAACUGCGGCUCAAUACAUGCCUGUCUUGUCUGCUGGAAAACAUUAACACUGGGUGCUACACAGUCGUCUUCAUCGAUUGCUCUGAACCUCAGUGUUUAAUAAGUAGCAUGGAAGAGCUUAAAUGGAGCAGUCAUUUUUACAUUCAGAAUCUUCUGAAGAUCUUGAUUUUUGUUUCUCCUCCUCGUUCUGCAAAAGUCCUAUCAAUUUUAAUAGCAUUACACAGAAAUUAAUGUAAAAAGUUAUAACAGUUGGCAUUCUCAGGAAAUUCUGUAUGAUUUGCCAUCAGUGCUGUGUUUAUAUCCUAGGUUGUGCAUAUACAUUUGAAUUUUAAGAAUUAGAAAUAAACGCUGUUGCGAAACUGG